rnacentral:misc_RNA from 1 species
GAUGAAGAACGUAGCGAAAUGCGAUAAGUAAUGUGAAUUGCAGAAUUCAGUGAAUCAUCGAAUCUUUGAACGCACAUUGCGCCCUCUGGUAUUCCGGGGGGCAUGCCUGUUCGAGCGUCAUUAUAACCACUCAAGCUCUCGCUUGGUAUUGGGGUUCGCGGUUUCGCGGCCCCUAAAAUCAGUGGCGGUGCCUGUCGGCUCUACGCGUAGUAAUACUCCUCGCGAUUGAGUCCGGUAGGUCUACUUGCCAGCAACCCCUAAUUUUUUUCAGGUUGACCUCGGAUCAGGUAGGGAUACCCGCUGAACUUAAGCAUAUCAAUAAGCGGAGGA